AAAUGGAUGAAAUAUGAAGUUUUAUUAAAAGAAAAAAGGGUGAAAAGAACAAAGUUUUGUCCAUCUUUGUUCAUCAUAGCUGAAAGUUAGAGAAGAGAAAGGAGAGGAGAAAGCUCUUGAGUAUUUGGUCAUUAGGAGGAGGAAAAUUGAAGGCGGUUCGUGUGUGGAUCUCGUCAGCAUAUCGUCACAAACAG